rnacentral:sRNA from 1 species
AAUCAAGGAAGGUCGAGUAAGUUCACUGCAUCCUGAAGCAAACGCGACCGUCCUCACGUCGUGUGAG